GAUGAACGCUGGCGGCGUGCUUAACACAUGCAAGUCGAACGGAAAGGCCCAAGCUUGCUUGGGUACUCGAGUGGCGAACGGGUGAGUAACACGUGGGUGAUCUGCCCUGCACUUCGGGAUAAGCCUGGGAAACUGGGUCUAAUACCGGAUAGGACCACUUCUUGGAUGUUGUGGUGGAAAGUUUUUUCGGUGUGGGAUGAGCUCGCGGCCUAUCAGCUUGUUGGUGGGGUAAUGGCCUACCAAGGCGUCGACGGGUAGCCGGCCUGAGUGGGUGUACGGCCACAUUGGGACUGAGAUACGGCCCAGACUCCUACGGGAGGCAGCAGUGGGGAAUAUUGCACAAUGGGCGCAAGCCUGAUGCAGCGACGCCGCGUGGGGGAUGACGGCCUUCGGGUUGUAAACUCCUUUCGCUAGGGACGAAGCGUUUUGUGACGGUACCUGGAGAAGAAGCACCGGCUAACUACGUG
rnacentral:rRNA from 1 species